CGAGGCGUAGCUCAGUUUGGUAGAGUGCUACGUUCGGGACGUAGAUGCCGCAGGUUCAAAUCCUGUCGCCUCGGCCA
rnacentral:tRNA from 1 species